GGGGGGGGGGGGGGGGGGGGGGGGGGGGGGGGGGGGGGGGGGGGGGGGGGGGGGGGGGGGGCGCAUGCGCGGGCCUGCGCUGCGGCGGGGCGGACAACGCCCCCUGCCGGGCGGCAGAGCCGGACCGUCACUAAAGGUCAUUAAAGGUCAUUAAAUGUGGGAAAGAUCGGAAUUCCUGCAAAACCUCGGAGUGCGGCGGGCACUGAACCUCCGGGUUCCUGCGCGCCUUGUGCAGCCUAGACACUAGGAAGAGUUUUGGACAUUCGGAGGAAUUUCUCAGGAAGCGGGAUUAGGCACUGCAAUGGGCUGCCCCGGGGGCUGUGGAGUCACCGUCCCUGGAGGUGUUUGAGGAAACACUGGACGUGGCACUCGGUGCCGCGGUCCAGCUGACGUGGUGCUGUGGGGUCAUGGGUUCUCUCGAUAAUAUCAGAGGACUUUUCCAACCUCAUUGAUUCUGUGACUCAGGUUUGAGUGUUUAAUGUGCUGCUACGCGAGAGCCCCUCCGUGUGAGCGCGUUCCCUGCUUUUAAAUGCAUGAGGGCUUCCAAGGUGCUGCGACACUCCCAGAGAUCCAGGACACAUCUGAAGAGUGUAGCCAUCUGUCUGGAAGCUUGCAACCUGCAUUUUUAUCAGCCAGCCUGCACAUUCCUGGAGAGAUUACUGAUGGAUUAAUGCACAUCAAUGGUCUUCAUGCACACACCUGUUACAUCUGUGAGGCUCAUGAAGCACACAUAGGACUGUUCUCCUGCCCAACUCAGGUUUAUAGCAAGGCCAGGUAGCACCUGGGCUGGGAGGUCUUGCUCAUGGUAGGAUGCUGAGGCUGUCAGAACUUCCUGCAGAGCAUGGCAAAACAAGGAUUCACCUUCUGCUAUUAACAGUUUUCACAUUCUCCAAAUGGGGUUCACCCAAAGAAUGAAGUGUGAUGGCAUCUGUACGUAACAAAGGAAUCUUCUGGUAAACUCACAUGCCAACUUCACCAAGCAACACUAUGAAAUAAAGGUUUCAAGAGAUCACUGAACAGUUUUUAACUGGAUAAUUGCUCCUGCUCAAAGGAAACUUAGUAGCAGUAGUAGUAGUAGUAGUAGUAGUACAAAAGAAUGCAGUCAAGAUAAUUUCAAGUUUAGUCAUUACCUGUUCCUUCUCCUAAUAAAAGAAAAAAACGCAGAGCAAAUU
rnacentral:lncRNA from 12 species